rnacentral:rRNA from 1 species
GACGAAGGAUGCAAGCGUUAUCCGGAUUCAUUGGGGUUAAAGGGAGCGUAGGCGGGUAUGUAAGUCAGUGGUGAAAUCUCAUAGCUUAACUAUGAAACUGCCAUUGAUACUGCGUACCUAGAGUACAGUUGCCGUUGGCGGAAUAUGACAUGUAGUGGUGAAAUACUUAGAUAUGUCAUAGAACACCGAUUGCGAAGGCAGCUAACGAAGCUGUAACUGACGCUGAGGCUCGAAAGUGCGGGGAUCAAACAGG